CAGUCAUGGUCUGGAGUCAAGAAAUGAAGAGGGCAAGCAAUGUUUUUGGCAUCCUGACUACAGUUACAUGCAGUUUGGGGCUGCUGCAAUGGCAACUCAAUGGAGAGGUUAGGAACACCAACUCCAGGAUCAGGCAAUCUUUGAAUCUCUGUCACUAGCAGCUUUGUAUAUUGGGGCAAGUUACUUAACAUCUGUCUGCUGGAGUUUGCUGGAGGUUCACUCCAGACCCUAUUUGCCUGGGUAUCACCAGUGGAGGCUGCAGAACAGCAAAGAUUGCUGCCUAUUCUUUCCUCUGGAAGCUUCGUCCUAGAGAGUCACCUGCCAGAUGCCAGCCAGAGCUCCCCGGAAUGAGGUAUUCAGUGACAUCUUUCUAAAUUGUUUAAAAUGAGAAGCAUUGCACACUGAGAGUCAGGAUCCAAGUGUCUUUGACUGAGCCAACUCAGCUCUGCUAUUAACUUAUGGUGUGAUCGCAGGCUGUCUAGAAAAGGACACCAACAAUCACCCAUGAAGAUUGCCCUUCAACCUUUGGGAGGAAAUGAUCGAAAUGGGAGCUAGAGAAGAUUAUUGUUGGAAUCUCAGUUCUUCAGAGAGCUACUAUCAACAGAUUGAGUUGACAGGAAAAAGUCAUAAUCCAGGCCAAAGUGAGCAAACUCCCAAGAGCAUUCCUGGUCAGCACCGCACCAAAUCCGUGGCAAGUGCAGAGAUUAUAAGCAAUUUCUCCAUGGCUGGAAUUCAGUUGAUCUGGGACUGAACCUAUUUCUAAUGGGGUCUUGAUAUAUUGCCCAGGCUGGAGUGCAGGGGCUAUUCACAGGCACAAUCAUAGCUCACUAUAAUCUCAAACUCCUAAUCUCAAGCAGUAGCUGGGACUGUAGGUAUGCACCAACACUCCCGGUUUGGAUAUAUCCAUUGAUUGGCAACCAGCACCACAGUAGAUGCUGAUGAAAAGAAAGUUAUGAAUGUCAUGUAAAAUGACAGUAGUAUUAGCAAAUGUGCUUUUAAUUAUAAGAAAAUUACAAUAUGUAAAAAAAUUUCAAUUUUCCCAUAUUAUCUCUUAAUAAUAACUGCCAUUUGUUGAGCCCAUUGGGUAUGUUACAUAUAUUAACACAACAGGAUGGACAUUAUCUAUCUUAUAUAUAUUAUGUGUAUAUAUACGGAAAACAGGACACAAAGUGUCUGAGGCCAUGGACAAUUAGCUUGCAGUAAAGUAGGAUUCUAAAUUAGGUUUCUCUAGCUCCAAGACCCAUGCCAUUUUGUUUUGUCAUUUGCUUCUGAUGAAUCAAAUAUUAAUUCAGCCAAAGACAGCUAUUCAAAGCUGGUUGAAUAACUUACUAUGUGUAAUUCACUUGUGUCCUGCCUUUCUUCCUAACUUUUGUACAAAACUGUGAUUAUUUUAAUAAGGCAUUCUAUACAUAAAGUUUCAAAAAAACCAUAAGUACCUCAAGAAAAUGUCAUAUAAUUUAGAAUUGAAUCAUAGCAUAUUUUUAAUCUGGAAGCAACAUAUCUAAAUAAGCCAUUUUUAUAUUAUAAAUACAAACAUGUACAAAGAAGUAUAGUUCACUUUACAAGCUGUUGCACAUGCAUAAUACCAUAUUAUGCUACCAAAGAAACUAUUAAGUUAUACAUAUUUUUUACAGCUUUAACUAUUUUUGUUGUCAAUUUCCUCUAAUAAGAUUUUUUCUGGAUAAACAAAAAUUUAUCUACUCAAAUGAUUGUUUUUCUUCAACAUCAUAAUGUUGCAGGCCUAUUGAUGUAUAUUUUUGUGUACUAAAUAGUUUGUGGAGCUCUUCUUGAAGAAUUAUCUUCAGAGCUGAUUAACCAGACACACCCUCCAGACAUCAUAGUCACAGCUGCUUUGAGACAGCAACAACCUCAUCCCCGCAAAUAGUAUGGAUUCCUGUCUUAUUCAAUAGGUCUGAAUUUUAAAUACUCUUAGCUUAUUUCAAGAACUAAAUCUAUCCUCCACAAAUAAAAAUGUGCUGCCGCUCAGAAUAUUUAGGAGAAUAUGUGAUAGCCAAAAUACUUUUGGCUUAUUUCAAAAAUUCAUCCAUCUCCACAAAGGAAAAUGUUUCACCAUUCAGAAUAUUCAAGAGAAUUUUCUUAGAAAAGAAAUCCAAGAUUGUAUUCAUUGGUAUAACAGACAUUUCUUCAAGGUAACUUCUUCCAAAAGAACAAUAUUUAGGGGUAUACAGAACAUCAUUUUUAAAAUAAUUUAUUUUGCUAUAUUUACCACAUUUCAUGACACCCUAAAAGAUUUUGGCUAAUGAAAUUUAUACAGUUCAAAUGUGUAUUCCUGAAGAGACAAGACUGAGGGAAAAAAAAUUAUCUCAAAGUCAUUCUCAAAUUAGAUAUGAAAUGAAUUAUUAAUUUCUACAUAUUUUACCAUCAUACUUGUAGUUUUAAUAAACAAAAAUCAAAUGCAUAUAGGCUUCACACACUUUGUGUAAUUGCUUAACAUCCCCAAAUUCGAUAAAUGCAAAAACCAGAUCUGUCUGGCUUUCCAUUAAGUCCCCAGCACCUAGCAAGGUGCUUAACAAAUAGCAGAUGGAUGUUGGAAGGAAUAAAGGAACAAAGAAAAGAAUAGAAGAAAUUAGUGACUUGAUUCUAUACAGAGUGGACCUUGACACAUACUGCAAGUGAAUGUUAAACUAAAAGUAUAAUUUCUUUAUCAGUGAAUAUAUUUCCAUGAAUUUUAAGUAUUUUGCUGAUGAUUUAUUAAAUAUGUAUUUCACUACUUUCUUUUCUUUUAAUCAGUCCUAUUCCAUCCCCUUCAAAUAAUAAAAAAGUUUCAAUG
rnacentral:lncRNA from 1 species